AGCGGCUACUUCAAAUAAUAAUUUAAACCCCAAACAAAAUGUAGUUUUUCAACGUCCUCUCACUUAAUUCUACACUUCGUGGAUUAACACUUGAUACAAACACAUUUAUAUUUUAGACCUAUUGAAGUCAUUUAAAAUGUGACGCUGUAGCCUACACCAACACUGAUUAAAAUACUAUUUUAAAAUAAACAUUGACUUCUGCUCAGCCAACAGAAAGAAGGCAGAGGCCCGAAAAACGGGUGGAGGGCCACCUCCACUAUAUCUGACGGAGGCUGAGGAGCUGGCCCUCAGCCAAAACAGGGGUCGCCCUGUGGCUGAAGGCAUCCCCGGGGGAAGCUCAUCCGAGCCUGUCACCCCCCAGGACACAAGUCCCUACAUCAGAUGCAAGUAUACACUUAUGUCUUUAAAAAAAAUCAAACUAAUAUAUAAAUAUAUAUAGCCUACUUUUUAACAAAUAUAUAUCCACCCACCCAACAGUUGUGGAUGGUGUCAUCUGCCUGCUUCAGCCUCCGACAGAAACAAACCCUGUAGCUGUAAGUCUUCCAUACUCAGAUUCCUCAGAUGGUAGUUCAAAGUAUUCUGAAACAGUAUAUUUUCCUGCAUUACAGGAGGGGGAGGAGGAGGAGGAGGAUGAAGAAACACUGUCUGCUGCCACAGGGAGAGAUCCAGAGGGGCAUCCUGAAGUGUGUCUUAAUAUAUAGCUACUGGCAGUGCCCAUUCAUUUACAUUCUAAAGUGGAAUUUGGAGUUUGACAUGUACACUGAAUACACGGCCGGAGAAGGUUAUUUAGAUAAAUUAUACUGUUCAAAGAAAAGCGGUAGCGUUCGAAAAUAAAUUCUUCUGGAAAUGAUAAAACGUCUAAUCUGGGUCGGAAGAUUCUCUCGCGACGUAAACCGUUGCUCAUUAUUCUGGCUUCGAUGUCGAUCGGAUUUUCAAGGAAUGGACAAUCCAUGUUCAACCGCUUUCUUUGUGUGGGAGGAGACAUG